rnacentral:rRNA from 1 species
UACGUAGGCAGCAAGCGUUGUUCGGAGUUACUGGGCGUAAAGCGUGCGCAGGCGGUUCGUUGUGUCUGCUGUGAAAUCCCCGGGCUCAACCUGGGAAUGGCAGUGGAAACUGGCGAGCUUGAGUGUGGCAGAGGGGGGUGGAAUUCCGCGUGUAGCAGUGAAAUGCGUAGAGAUGCGGAGGAACACCGAUGGCGAAGGCAGCCCCCUGGGCUGACACUGACGCUCAGGCACGAAAGCGUGGGGAGCAAACAGG